ACAUUCACCCUUUGGCUUACUUUCUUCAUCUUUCCCUCCUCCCCAGUUCUAUCUUUAUCCUCAUAGUCCCUCUAUACUUUCAGGUUGUCUGUUGCUGUCUAGGUGUAAGAGAAACUAUGAAACCUUUGUCAUUUGUCGUUUGGCUAAUUUUGCUUAAAACAUUGUCUUCAAGAUAUAUCCAUUUUUUUCUGAAAGUGGCCUGAUUUCCUUCUUUGUUAUGGCACAGUAAUACUUUCUUGCAUGCCUGUACUGACUUGCUUAUCUUUGGGGUGACUUAGUCUUGGAUCUUUGAGUAGUACUGCAGUAACCAUGGCUGUGCACCUACCUCUGAAUAUUGACUUAACUUUCCAUAGAUGAAUAUCUUGGAGUUGUACAGCUAGAUGUAAUACUUAAAACUUUCUUAAUUACCUGAACUUCUUGUUUUCUGUUCAUUUAGAACUUUUAUCACUACAUAUCCUUUGAUUUUGUUUACAAAACUCUAAGGAAUUAGGCCUUUUCUUUCUUAGCUGUCUAUAGUUUUCAUUCAUUUAGAAGGUGAAUAACAAAGAAUAGGGAACAUUUCAAGAAUUAAGAUUUUAAAUGGUGAUAAAGUCAAGAGAGUUAUGUUUUUUAUAAUCAGUUUUAUAAGUUUUGACUUGUUAUUUAAAUGUGUGAUUUGUAAAUAUGGUCUAUGGAAUACAGUCCUUAUUGGUUCAUAUUAUACUUAAAAAUUUGUUUUAAAUAUAGUUGUGCAUUCUUGAACAAUAAGUUUGCAUUCUAAGCAGUACAUUAUUAAGGGAUUUUGUUAGUAUGAGUAUCAUAGAAUCUGCAGAAGCAAAUCUAAAUGGUGUAGCCUAUUGACUACCUAGGGUAUGUCAUCUUGCUCUAGACAACACACUGCUUAGUAUGUUUCUGUACUAAAUACUCUGACCAUUCUGGUGCAGUGAUAAAUAUUGGCAUUAUCUAAACUGAAAAGAAGCAAAGACAUUGUGUUCUAACCUUUUUGUGAUGGAACACUCCUUUAAUUGCCUUUAAUCUCAGCAUUUGGGAGGCACAAGCAGGUGGAUCUUUGUGUUUGAGGACAGUUUGAUCUACAUGGUGAGUUCUAGGCUAGGCAAGAUUGUGUAGUGAGACCCUAUCCCAAACAAAACAAAAAACAAAGCAAGCAAGCAAGAAAAGUGGUGUAAUAAAACCAUUUAAGUGUUAGGGUUUUUGCUUUCAAGUUUUUUUUUUCAAUUUUUUAUUAGAUAUUUCCUUCAUUUACAUUUCAAAUACUAUCCCGAAAGUCCCCUAUACUCCCCCGCCCCCGUCCUACACCCCUACCCACCCACUCCCACUUCUUGGCCCUGGCGUUCCUCUGUACUGGGGCAUAUAAAGUUUCCAAGAACACAUCAAAACGAUCAUCCAUCAUGACCAAGUAGGCUUCAUCCCAGGGAUGCAGGGAUGGUUUAAUAUGCGGAAAUCCAUCAACUCAAUCUUAGGCUGUAAAGUGUCGUGUGUACGUGUGCACACUCGUGUGUGUGUGUGUGUGUGUGUGUGUGUGUGUGUGUGU
rnacentral:lncRNA from 1 species